rnacentral:rRNA from 1 species
GACGAACGCUGGCGGCGCGCCUAACACAUGCAAGUCGAACGAGCGAGGGAGAGCUUGCUUUCUUGAGCGAGUGGCGAACGGGUGAGUAACGCGUGAGGAACCUGCCUCAAAGAGGGGGACAACAGUUGGAAACGACUGCUAAUACCGCAUAAGCCCACGGUGCCGCAUGGCACAGAGGGAAAAGGAGCAAUCCGCUUUGAGAUGGCCUCGCGUCCGAUUAGCUAGUUGGUGAGGUAACGGCCCACCAAGGCGACGAUCGGUAGCCGGACUGAGAGGUUGAACGGCCACAUUGGGACUGAGACACGGCCCAGACUCCUACGGGAGGCAGCAGUGGGGAAUAUUGCACAAUGGGGGAAACCCUGAUGCAGCGACGCCGCGUGGAGGAAGAAGGUCUUCGGAUCGUAAACUCCUGUUGUUGGGGAAGAUAAUGACGGUACCCAACAAGGAAGUGACGGCUAACUACGU